rnacentral:lncRNA from 1 species
UUCACUCUUUGUCGUGGGAAGGUGACUAAAGCUCCAUAUUGCAAUUUCACUAGACUAUCCGGAUUUCAUUUAGUGUUCAAAAUUAAAUACUUUCUUGUCCAGUCAUACUAGUACUGAUGAACGUCAAGUUGACGUUGUGCUGCUGUAAAGCAACUGUACAACUCAAGGCCCCCCCCCCCCGCGAGCCCCCGCGUCGCUCCCAGGGGCGACUCGGGAGGCGAAACCCUAGCCGCCGCCCAGGCUCCCCUCCCCCUCCCUCCCCUCGCCGUCGCCGGAGGAUGCCGGCAGGCAAAGCCCUCACCGGUGGACGGCGGCGGCGGGGCCCUCGUUCGUGUGCUCGCGCGCUGCUGCUGGGCGCGCUGGAGCGGCGGGAGCGCGCGGUGGCGCGGUGGGCGGCCGUCUGCUCGCGGGGAGGUCGAGAUGGCGUGGACUGCGUGCGCGGUGGCGCUGCCAUGGCGGCCGCCGGCCGCUGAUGCGUGCGGCAGAGUUGAGGGCGCCCAGAUCUGGGCCGCACGAGCCCGCCCAGGCCGGCGACAAUCACUCUGCCCCCACCCACCCCUCUCCCUCCUCCCACCCCUCGUGGCCGCUGCCGGCGGUUGCCGCUGGGUUAGUAAGCACGCGCGCGGCGACCUUGACGGUUGCUGCUCCGCUGUGCCCCGGCGGAUCCUGGUGGCGGAGGCUGCGGGCCAGCGCGGCCGCGGCGCGGUGCAGGUGGCUGCUGCUGCCUGCUGAACACGCUCCCGGCGGUGGCCGGCCUGCUGGAGCUGCGCUGGUCGGUGCUCACUCCUGCGACGACAACGUUUCUAGGCUUCCCCCAUGUGUGUUGGUCUUCUCCGACGAUUCUUCGCCAUGCCCGGUCUGCCAUUGCAUCUGAGGUCUUCGUCCUUGGGUCGGGGCGAAAUCCCCGCGCGGCGACGGCCUGCGCUGUCAACGGCGACGCCCGAGGGUGCCGUCACCUCCUUGGAGGCGUUGGCAUGACCCUGACCAGACCUCCUCCUCGAGCACCGGGAGAAAUCCUAGGUCCGGUCUCCCGGACCGGGCAGCGGCGGCGUCUCAACGCCGUUCCCCUCUUGAUGGCGCUGCUUUGGCUGCAAGUGGAGUACUUGAUGCGGCAGAUAGUGGUUGGCGAUGCAUCGCUCUGGCGUAGACUGCUACACAAGGAGCAGGUCGCAACAUUUGCCUGCGCCGGCGCUCCCCAAUGAAUGCUACACCAGUUCCAAUCAGGCCCUGCUUUUCACCCGCCGACUCUCUAGGCACAUGGGUGCGAGGUACGUCGGCUUGGGCGGUCCUGAAGCUGCAUUCGUCCCUGGAAGUGCCUGGCAAUGGCAGUGAUGCUGCCCUGUUGCUCCGAGUCUCGGUGCUUCGCCAUUUUGGCUGGAGGCAAGGCUGGGCGAGGCCUAAUGUCGUUGCGUGUCUGUAGUUGAGGGCACCUCCUCACCUAGCUGUAGUCACUUGGUGAGGACGGUCGUGUGUGUGUGUGUGUGCGUGCGCGUGUGUGUGUGUCCCUCCUUUUUGGAGGUUGUACCCCUGAUGUCUUCCUGUUCAAUGCAAUGAAACGCAACUCUUUUGCGUUUUCUCGAAAAAGUUGACGUUGUGCUCGGCCAUAGGCCUGCCCUUUCUCUCUCCCUUUGGUUCGAGGAGCAGCAACUGCUGGCCUGCAGUGCCGCCAUCUGAAGACAAGGGAGAUGGCCAUAAUUCCCUUAUGGUAAUUAUGCAGGUGCGGAACCUUCCAAGUGCACGGCAGCCUUGUCCGUCCAAGUUGAGCACUGGGCGCCGUCCGAGUAGAGCACCGCGCCUCGUCCAAGUUCCCAUCUAAUGUUGAAUAAUAUACCGCUGAGUGCUAUUGACGGUCAGUUACUUCUUCGUUUCAUGCUGCACAUGUGAACUGAAAAUUGUAGAAAAGAGAAUUUAGUAUGUUUUGGAGAGCUUAAUUUCCCAAGUGGCAAAUUUGAUCUGUACCAGUAAGUACAUGAUUAAUAUUUUAUAAUAUGUGUGGUUCCAGUAAGUACAUGAGUACUAUUUAGCAUGUUUGAUUGCUUCUGAAUAAUGAAAAUGUGUGUGUACUGAUGCAUUUCAAAAAUUGUGAUGUGUGUUCUCAAGAAAAAACAUUUCCUGGUUAUUGGUGCCGCUGGAUAACUGUCAUAGUUCGUCGCCAGCAAAGUUCUUGAACUUGGCUUAUACCAGUAGUAGAACUUACUUGUUCUCCGUGACAUAAAAUUGAAAACAGACAAAAAAUUCUCAAGUAAUGUAAUCUGUAGCAAAACAUAGUAAAUAUUUUUAUCGAAAUGUUGCACAAGUAGUGUUCCAUUUAUCUUUCUCUCAUGCCUGCCCUUUUGGUCUUAUAGGAAUUGAGGCUUCGCCAAGGAACAAGAUUGGUAACUAGCGCAAAGGAGACUAUGUCGAGAGGUGGCACUGCUAGACUUGUUGAUGUGUAGUUAUGGCAUAAAAAAGAUGAAAAAAUGGUAUCUUGUAUGAUUCCACAAGGUGCACGUAGCAAAUCAUCCCAUGUGGAUCAGGACAACUUAUGUAUGGCCUUUAGUUCACAAAUCUUAUAGUAAUCUUUGUAGUAAUCUUCAUAACACUUCGUAAAGCAAGAGUGUCCCUUUUUUGUGAGCAGCAAUUCAAACGAAACUGUUGUAUCUUUUCUUAUGAUGGAUAGAAGAAAGUUCACUAGCCAAAAGGUUAGAGAAGUCUACCUUAUAAUUUGCAAUCUUAAAGAUAAUGAUCGGUUUGAAUUAAAAAAUCAGUUUGC